rnacentral:rRNA from 1 species
UCGCUACUACCGAUUGAAUGUUUUGAUGAAUUGCGCGGACCGGCUGACCUGGGUGGCAACGCCCUGUCGGAUUGGGAACUGUAAUAAAUCUGAGCAUUUAGAGGAAGUAA